rnacentral:rRNA from 1 species
UACGUAGGGUGCGAGCGUUGUCCGGAAUUACUGGGCGUAAAGAGCUCGUAGGUGGUUUGUCGCGUUGUUCGUGAAAACUCACAGCUUAACUGUGGGCGUGCGGGCGAUACGGGCAGACUAGAGUACUGCAGGGGAGACUGGAAUUCCUGGUGUAGCGGUGGAAUGCGCAGAUAUCAGGAGGAACACCGGUGGCGAAGGCGGCAUCCUGGACCGACACUGACACUGAGGAGCGAAAGCCAGGGGAGCAAACGGG